rnacentral:lncRNA from 1 species
UGAUCCUGAGGCUCCUGAAAGUCCAAGGUACUUAUGGGAUGAGGAGCAGGACAUGUUCAACCCUGAACUCCAGUUUAAUGCCAUCCAAAACGCUGGCAAUCAUAACCGUUCCCGCACGGCCCUAUUUUCCAAGAGGACUCUAAACGUCUAAACGUCUGUUCGAAUGUCUCCUGCCACAACUGGGGCGGAGCUAUGAAGCCUGGGUGGAAGAAAAGGACUAGGAGAGGAAGCGGCCACUUGCCCUCCUCCCAAACCUCUGAUGAAACUGCACGAGAGAAAGCUCACAGCAAAGCUGUGAUUCAUGUCGUCCCCAUCCCGCUCUCACAGCCAAUGCAACACAAGUUCUUCCUGGGCUGAGGAAGCAGAGAAAAGUAACAAUUGAGCUUGUGAAAAAAAGACGACAGCGUGUGCGGUGUGAUGUUUCCCGAUGUCUUCACCUUGCGUCUCCUCCAUGGUUGGGAGCCCUCCCUCUGGUUCCCCAAGUCCCACGCGCACCCCUCCCCUACCCCCAAGUCCAGGUGCUCCCAUCUGCUGGGCUUCUGCCUCAUUUUCCAUAGACACUUUCAUCACUGUAGGCCACAUACAGAAAAUAGUCUUCCUCGUGGUUGUCCUAAGAAGAGGAGACAAGACGACAAUUCAGAAAAUACUAAACAUUCAUGUUUAUAAUCUCUGAUUCUGAGCCUCGAACAAUCUUAUAAAGGAGGCGUGGAAGUCAGCAUUAUUCUCAUUUAAAAUAUGGAACAGGACUUGGGGUGCAGCCCAGUGGUAGAACCUUGCCUCAAAUGUGUGAAGCCCUGGGUUUACAUUUUUAGCAUCAGGAAAAAGGAAAACAAAGAACAACAAAAGGAAUAAAGAAUGUAUCUCACCAACAGCAGAAAAAUAACCAGAGUAAGCCUUACUCCUAGAAACAACCAUUCUCCAGUCAACUUUAGCCACAGUGGUCUGCAGUGGCUACAGAACCUAAUUGGUCAGGAUUACUUAGUGCCUGGCCACACAUGAGUCAUCUAAAUUGCCCCCACCAACACUCAAGGAAGAAGAAUGAAUGUCAGACUCUGAGGAAGGGCGCGGAGAGGUGUGGAAUGCUGGCUUCUGGGCAUGAGAUGGCUGUUGUAAUCCUGAACUCAUAGGCAGCUUUGGUUGAUUUGCAAUGCACCGGCCCUCCGCAAAAUUGGGCCUAUCAACAACAUCCCAUCAUGACAGGGAGCGGGUUUCUCAGGCCUCACCCCUUUCUGAGAAUCUAUACUUGAUUGAUAGUUGAGGGGGACAAGGAGUCAUCUUCUAUUGUAGAAAAGUGUCCAUCCAUGCUUCCGUAAACAAGCUGAGUGCUCUCCUUUAAAUAACUGGGUUAACAAAGCAAGACUGAGAGGGGAAAGCGACAGGGUAAGAUGUGGGGGUAAAUCUGACUGAAAUAUGUUAUGUACAAGUAUGAGAACAAAAAAAAAUAAGACCCAUUUAUAUAAUGAAUAUAUGCUGGUAGCACUGGUGGGAGGGAUGGUGUUGUUGACAAAGAAGAAUAAGGCGUCCUCAGGUCUCAGGUGGAUCCUCUUCCGGAUUAAGAAGUAGAACUGGCCAACUACAGGAAGGAAACAGAGAGCAGGGUGAGAAAUGAAAAAGGAUUAGUAGGAGAAACCUCAGAAAACAAAAUAAAAUCUAUUGGACCCAGGAGAAGAAGCAGUCACAAAAGCGCUCUCUGUCAAAGUGUGAAGACUGAGUUCUGAUCCCCAAACUCCAUGAUUCCGAUGACCCUCCUGUGCCAGGGCCACCCGCCAUCGCCAGGCUACCUCUGGAGAUCUCGCGGCCUGAAGGUAAAGGACCACCAGUUUCUUGUUUGAUGCCCAAAACAAACACAGAGGAAGAAAAUCCAGCUGUUUCCAGAGCAAUGGAAUCAGGAGUCUGGAGUUGGAAAAGUGCCAGGCGUCACGAGAUUUGUAGCCCGGGCUGAAAUGUCCUGUGCUUGCAUUUUGACCUUUGCCUGGCACCCACGACUGGCCUGCCUUCUCUGCCCCAACUCCUCCUUCUGACUGGUGUCCUUAUGUUUGGAUCUGUGCUAGAAUUGGUUCUGAGACAACAUAAACAGAGCAUGACUCAUGGAUUUGAAGAAGUGUAAGGGUGAAGAACAUGAAGUCAUCAAGGUUAGAAGAAGCGAUGCCAGCGAUGAACACCAGGCUUCACUCACGUUCAAGGAGAGAUGAAUCCAUUCAUUUUAUAAGGUUCACCCAGAAGCAUGGUUGUUGAGUUCUUGAAAAUACAGAGGUCAAAUCAUUUAGGUGUCUAUGUUUCCCCAACAAUACUUUGCUCUGGGGUGGGUAUCACCUGUAGGGUAGUUGUCCUGAUGAAAAGGCCUUAUUGGGCACCAAAAGCUCUGACUGGCAUGCUGGUGGAAGACCCUCAAUAGUAUAGAGAGAGUCAGCCCAGGCCCCUCUGACAUACCGGGUUUCCAUCUUAAGACUCUUUGGAUGCGGGGUCACCCUUCUGAUUCUACUGGCAGUAACUCCAGACCUAUAUCUUGGGAACAUCGGAGAUAAAGUUCAAGGAUGCUUUGUGCUGUGAAAAUAAAAUGACUACUAAGUGGUACCAGGCAAGCAGCCCUGUUGCCUGAUUUUAUGUACAUGACUUAGUGAUAUGGUUAUAAAAUAUGGGCAAAAUAAAGUGAACUGAAUUUAACUGGGUAAUGUAAAUACUCUACAUGGAAGAAGCUAUGAAGAAAGCAGAAGCAAAAGGAAGAAAGACACUAAAAGGAGGAUGGGGAAUGAUCACCUCAUCUA